rfam:Pseudomonas sp. M30-35, complete genome.
AUGCUCCUUUGUUGUGUUAAGUGUUGGCAGACAUCUGAACCCCGCCCUAGCGGUUCAGACCCUUAAACUCCGAACUUCUCCCUCCCCAUAUGAAGCUCGGAGUUUUUUUUGCCUAAAG